AGCUAGUGUAGUUUAGUGGUUUCAGUGUUGGACUACAACUCUGAAGACCAGGGUUUGAAUCCCUUCCUAGCUA